UAACUGAAGAGUUUGAUCAUGGCUCAGAUUGAACGCUGGCGGCAGGCUUAACACAUGCAAGUCGAGCGGGGGAAGGUAGCUUGCUACCGGACCUAGCGGCGGACGGGUGAGUAAUGCUUAGGAAUCUGCCUAUUAGUGGGGGACAACAUCUCGAAAGGGAUGCUAAUACCGCAUACGUCCUACGGGAGAAAGCAGGGGAUCUUCGGACCUUGCGCUAAUAGAUGAGCCUAAGUCGGAUUAGCUAGUUGGUGGGGUAAAGGCCUACCAAGGCGACGAUCUGUAGCGGGUCUGAGAGGAUGAUCCGCCACACUGGGACUGAGACACGGCCCAGACUCCUACGGGAGGCAGCAGUGGGGAAUAUUGGACAAUGGGGGGAACCCUG
rnacentral:rRNA from 1 species